rnacentral:lncRNA from 9 species
UGGGCUGAGGCCUCCGGAGGAUGCUAGAAGGGAGGCGUGCGUGUAAAGCGCCAUCCCUCAGCAGCCCACGAUCUCGGACGGUUUGCCACUGUGGCCAGUGUUUUAUUGAUGCUUCUGAGGCCAUAGAGCACGCACGGGGAAGUUCUGAGCACACGGAGGACAAGCCAGGGCGGUGCUGUGUGGCCGCAGUCAACCCUAGUAGGGGUCCGAGUGGGGGACGGUCGCUAACACCUCGAUUCCUCAUGUCUGUGUUUCUGCAGCUUGGAGCUUGGAGAGUGUGUGUGAGAGCGACCUCGCUGACAGCAACCUCGCAGAAAGUGAUCGAGACUCGGUGGCGGAGCGCACCGACUGCCGCCAGGAUGAGGAGGCUGCAGACUGUUGCUUUGGGAGCAAAGGAUCGUGCUUCAAAAGUCUGAGGACAAGUUUGUCCUCUGCGAGCUUGGCUAGAAUAAUUCCCCGGUGGCCACACAACAGGGUGCACCUUGCCACUGAGCCAGAUGAAGCAACGCACGCCGACGAUGUUGUGGAGGCCGGUGGGAGUGAGAAGACCGAGGCAAAGCCCCGGGCUGGGGGACAUGAGGACGAGGCGGCCCCAGUACCUGAGGUGGAGGAGGAGGAGGAGGCGGGCCGGCCCCUUGAAAAUGGCCAGGAGGAGUCCCCAGCCAUCGCCUGGGCCGAGCCGGAAGACGAGCCUGGCCCCAAGGUGGACGGGGCGGACGAUGAAAUCUCUUGGAGCUUGGAGAGUGUGUGUGAGAGCGACCUCGCUGACAGCAACCUCGCAGAAAGUGAUCGAGACUCGGUGGCGGAGCGCACCGACUGCCGCCAGGAUGAGGAGGCUGCAGGAACUCACGACGACGAUGUUGUGGAGGCCGGUGGGAGUGAGAAGACUGAGGCAAAGCCCCGGGCUGGGGGACAUGAGGACGAGGCGGCCCCAGUACCUGAGGUGGAGGUGGAGGAGGAGGCGGGCCAGCCCCGUGAAAAUGGCCAGGAGGAGUCCUUAGCCAUCGCCUGGGCUGAGCCGGAAGACGAGCCUGGCCCCAAGGUGGACGGGGCGGACGAUGAAAUCUCUUGGAGCUUGGAGAGUGUGUGUGAGAGCGACCUCGCUGACAGCAACCUCGCAGAAAGUGAUCGAGGUAAGAACAGCUCUCAGGUAGGAGCCAGUGGGAGAGGGUUCCCGGGACACUUGGUUAGGCCUGCUGCUUGGAGGGUGGGGCGGGUGAGUGUGCAAUUGCAAAAGAGAAAGAAAUUGGUGUAAAGAUGUUCGUCGCCUAUGUUCCUAAGGAGGGGGAGCAGGUAUGAGAUGCCCGAAUGUUGGCAUCUGUGCUCACGUUGUGUUGGCGGGCCUCAGUCCCUGGAGCAGAGGGAAGGCCUGGGCACCUGGAGGAAAAACCCGGGUGAUGCUGUGUGACCCGCCGUCACCUCGGGGAAGCCGGGGAAACGGGAGGGCCACUCCUUCUCACGCCUCGCUUCCCCGCGGUGUGUUUCUACAGACUCGGUGGCGGAGCGCACCGACUGCCGCCAGGAUGAGGAGGCUGCAGGUAGGGAAGAGCACGCAGCUGGGAUCCAGGGGGAGAGGGUUCCUGGGAGCAGCUGGGUUCCACCUGCUGCCGGGAGAGGGCGGAAGGGGCUAGGACUUGGGUGGGUGGCCUACUGAGCGGAACUCCGCUGUGGUGUUUUCCCCUCUGAAGUUGCUAAGCCGAAGACGACUUGGGUCCCUGGUCUUUGUUGUGCUGUGUUUGGAUUCGUGUCUCCUUCCUUUGAGAGGGAGAAUGGCUUUUCCCUCCCGAAGCGGCUCCUUCCAGCUCUUGUCUCUGGCCAUGGUGCCAGCUUGCUUUGUGGGUCGCACCCUGAGGGUCCUGUGCACAAGAGCUGUUGACUUAGUUUCCUUUGUUGCCCUUGAGGGCCCUGGUGUGGUGGGACGCAACCCUCUCCUAGCCCUUGACCCUGGAGACCAAGUUUGCCUGGUGAGUGUCAGGUGGCGGGUGAGAAGGCAGGUCUCUCCCUCUGCACGUUUGGGAUUUCUGGCCUCCCUGUCCUGGUGUGUCCUGGCGGUGUGUCCUGAGGGAAGGGGCGUUCCCAGAGUUGGAUGAGUUGAAGGAGACGGCCUUGGAGUAGGCGUGGUUAACGAAUCCGACCUGGAACCAUGAGAUUGCGGGUUCGAUCCCUGGCCUCCUCGCUCAGUGGGUUAAGGAUCCGGUGAUGCCGUGAGCUGUGGUGUAGGUGGCAGAUGGGGCUGGGAUCCUGCCUUGCUGUGGCUCUGGCGUAAGCCGGCAGCUACAGCGCCGAUGAGACCCUAGCCUGGGAACCUCCAUAUGCCAUGGGUGUGGCCCUAAGGAAGCGACAAGGAUGACAAGAAAAAAAAAUGGUGAAAUCAGGCACCACAGCAACAGAGAUAGCGUGCAGUUCAACACAUAGGCGGCAAGUAGACUAGGCAGACUGUCAGAGCUGGAACGGAGAGAUGGCUAAGACCUGGCAGCAGGGCUGAAGGGGGAGUCAGUCAUUCCUGCAUGGGUGCAGAGGUCCUGUGAGUCACGACGAGAAAGGUUGAGAAAGGUUGUUAGGGACAGUGGUGCAAAGUACGUAGCAUCGGGAAGGCCUGCUCUCCCUCCCCUGCCUGAGUCUCCUAUUGCCAAAGUAUUCCAAAGAGAAGUAUUACGUAUCUAAGAAGAGAAAAGAGGUGACGCAUUGGGGAGGAUGGAGCGUGAACACAGGAGCACCCUGUGGGAAGAGUAGGGAAGCGGAAAUGAUCUCCUGCCAUUUCAGCAGAUGGAGGAAUGGGCCGGAGGUGAAAAUGGGCAGGAGGACUCGGGAGGCUCUCUGGUGGCAGCAGAGCCGGCAUGCUCGUGUUGGCCAUUUCUCAGCUGGGGAAUCCGCCACGGAGAGGUUCCCUUAGCAAGAGAGGCAGAGGCUCCCUUUCUCAGGUCUUUCAGGGUGCUGUCUGCCUUCCUUCGAGACGUUUCCCCAGGAGGAUGGGCCAAGAGGAGCUCCGUCCGUGCCUCAUCCCGCCCCCGCCCCCAGCCCCAGCCCUCGACUCCCAGCCCUGUCCAGUCAGGUGAGCGCCCAGAGUACCUCGUGAGCAGCACCAUCGCCUUGCUGACAGUGACUUGUGUGUCCCCAGGAACUCACGACGACAAUGUUGUGGAGGCCGGUGGAGUGAGAAGACUGAGGCAAAGCCCCGUGCUGGGGGACAUGAGGACGAGGCGGCCCCAGUACCUGAGGUGGAGGUGGAGGAGGAGGCGGGCCAGCCCCGUGAAAAUGGCCAGGAGGAGUCCUUAGCCAUCGCCUGGGCUGAGCCGGAAGACGAGCCUGGCCCAAGGUAAGCUCACCUUUCUUGAUGUGAGGUUGGAAAAGGUGCCUCCUUUCUUCUUGGAUGUACCUCCUUCAGAAAUGGAAAUCUGAGAAAGUCCACUGUAGAUGAUAUAUGCAGAUGCUGUGCGGAGGACUGUUGAGUCCAAGUUUGGUAUCAAGCAGUAGCUCCUUCCCAGGGGCAUUUGCAAAAGGGACCGCAUCAGUUCCCAAGUGUGCAGUAGGGAGCAUAUGUCUUUGAAGAAGCCGGAAUGUUGUUUGUCUUGGUUUGUCUUUUUUUGCCUUUUCUAGGGCCCCUCCCGCGGCAUAUGGAGAUGAGGUUCCCAGGCUAGGGGUCUGAUCGGAGCUGUAGCCACCGGCCUACGCCAGAGCCACAGCAACGUGGAUCCGAGCCUCGUCUGCCACCUACACCACAGCUCAGGGCAGCGCCGGAUACUUCACCCACUGAGCAAGGCCAGGGAUCGAACCCGCAACCUCAUGGUUCUUGGUCCGAUUCGUUAACCACUGUGCCACGAUGGAAGGCCAAAGAAGCCUGAAGUUUGUUAAAGUACGAGGACUUGGAGAUCUCCAUGAAAAGCUGGCGCCUUUUCCAAAGGGGUCUUCGCCGUGUCUUUUGGGGAAACGGACUCAACGCUGCCUUCUGUCUGCGUGCCUGCGGUCCCCAACGGCAGGAAGACCUGUGGCCGCAGUGCAGAGGAUGCUGUGACACUCACCGUGUUUCUCUUGUCUCAUCACAGGUGACGGGGCGGACGAUGAAAUCUGUGAGUAUUCUGGAC